rnacentral:lncRNA from 1 species
AAGAAAUUCUAUACAAUUGAUGACAAGUUAAUGAUGGAAAAUUUCGUGAUGGAAGUGCCUUGCACUUGGACAACUCACACUGACUUUUCACAUACCCAGUCUGUGUGCGUGCCCUGGCGAAGGUGCCUCAGCCCAGACACCCUGUCUCAUUUCUCCUCCCCUUUCAGGCAAAGACAUCAGUGACUCCCUGGGAACUUCCUACAGUCUGCCUGCUCUUGUACUGAAGACCUGCUUCUCCAGCCCUGGGUGAUGAAAAAGCCAUCAACCCAGCGACAAAACUCCCAAAACACUGUGGUUCACAUAAUUCCUGGGACUGCCUUCUUUCGAACAAAAAGAAUACUGGCCCCAAACAGCAUGUCCAUUUCUCCUGGGAAGCUGUGGUGUCUUCUAUGGACACAGUUCUGAAGCGGAGAGUUUUGUAGAGCCAAGAAAAUUCCCUAGAGAUGCAGGUGGUUCAGUGGGACCCAGAGAG